rnacentral:rRNA from 1 species
UCCUGUUCGUCCUCGGCAGCUUCAGCUGUGUUUACGAGAUAGAGUUAAGGACCCCGAGGAAAAAAAAUCUACGCGAGGAUUCCCCCAGUAGCGGCGAGGGAACGGGGAGGAGCCCAGAGCCUGAAUCAGUGUGUGUGUUAGUGGAAGCGUCUGGAAAGGCGCGCGAUACAGGGUGACAGCCCCGUACACAAAAAUACACAUAUUGUGAGCUCGAUGAGUAGGGCGGGACACGUGGUAUCCUGUCUGAAUAUGGGGGGACCAUCCUCCAAGGCUAAAUACUCCUGACUGACCGAUAGUGAACCAGUACCGUGAGGGAAAGGCGAAAAGAACCCCGGCGAGGGGAGUGAAAAAGAACCUGAAACCGUGUACGUACAAGCAGUGGGAGCACGCUUAGGCGUGUGACUGCGUACCUUUUGUAUAAUGGGUCAGCGACUUAUAUUCUGUAGCAAGGUUAACCGAAUAGGGGAGCCGAAGGGAAACCGAGUCUUAACUGGGCGUUAAGUUGCAGGGUAUAGACCCGAAACCCGGUGAUCUAGCCAUGGGCAGGUUGAAGGUUGGGUAACACUAACUGGAGGACCGAACCGACUAAUGUUGAAAAAUUAGCGGAUGACUUGUGGCUGGGGGUGAAAGGCCAAUCAAACCGGGAGAUAGCUGGUUCUCCCCGAAAGCUAUUUAGGUAGCGCCUCGUGAAUUCAUCUCCGGGGGUAGAGCACUGUUUCGGCAAGGGGGUCAUCCCGACUUACCAACCCGAUGCAAACUGCGAAUACCGGAGAAUGUUAUCACGGGAGACACACGGCGGGUGCUAACGUCCGUCGUGAAGAGGGAAACAACCCAGACCGCCAGCUAAGGUCCCAAAGUCAUGGUUAAGUGGGAAACGAUGUGGGAAGGCCCAGACAGCCAGGAUGUUGGCUUAGAAGCAGCCAUCAUUUAAAGAAAGCGUAAUAGCUCACUGGUCGAGUCGGCCUGCGCGGAAGAUGUAACGGGGCUAAACCAUGCACCGAAGCUGCGGCAGCGACGCUUAUGCGUUGUUGGGUAGGGGAGCGUUCUGUAAGCCUGCGAAGGUGUGCUGUGAGGCAUGCUGGAGGUAUCAGAAGUGCGAAUGCUGACAUAAGUAACGAUAAAGCGGGUGAAAAGCCCGCUCGCCGGAAGACCAAGGGUUCCUGUCCAACGUUAAUCGGGGCAGGGUGAGUCGACCCCUAAGGCGAGGCCGAAAGGCGUAGUCGAUGGGAAACAGGUUAAUAUUCCUGUACUUGGUGUUACUGCGAAGGGGGGACGGAGAAGGCUAUGUUGGCCGGGCGACGGUUGUCCCGGUUUAAGCGUGUAGGCUGGUUUUCCAGGCAAAUCCGGAAAAUCAAGGCUGAGGCGUGAUGACGAGGCACUACGGUGCUGAAGCAACAAAUGCCCUGCUUCCAGGAAAAGCCUCUAAGCAUCAGGUAACAUCAAAUCGUACCCCAAACCGACACAGGUGGUCAGGUAGAGAAUACCAAGGCGCUUGAGAGAACUCGGGUGAAGGAACUAGGCAAAAUGGUGCCGUAACUUCGGGAGAAGGCACGCUGAUAUGUAGGUGAAGUCCCUUGCGGAUGGAGCUGAAAUCAGUCGAAGAUACCAGCUGGCUGCAACUGUUUAUUAAAAACACAGCACUGUGCAAACACGAAAGUGGACGUAUACGGUGUGACGCCUGCCCGGUGCCGGAAGGUUAAUUGAUGGGGUCAGCGCAAGCGAAGCUCUUGAUCGAAGCCCCGGUAAACGGCGGCCGUAACUAUAACGGUCCUAAGGUAGCGAAAUUCCUUGUCGGGUAAGUUCCGACCUGCACGAAUGGCGUAAUGAUGGCCAGGCUGUCUCCACCCGAGACUCAGUGAAAUUGAACUCGCUGUGAAGAUGCAGUGUACCCGCGGCAAGACGGAAAGACCCCGUGAACCUUUACUAUAGCUUGACACUGAACAUUGAGCCUUGAUGUGUAGGAUAGGUGGGAGGCUUUGAAGUGUGGACGCCAGUCUGCAUGGAGCCGGCCUUGAAAUACCACCCUUUAAUGUUUGAUGUUCUAACGUGGACCCGUGAUCCGGGUUGCGGACAGUGUCUGGUGGGUAGUUUGACUGGGGCGGUCUCCUCCUAAAGAGUAACGGAGGAGCACGAAGGUUGGCUAAUCCUGGUCGGACAUCAGGAGGUUAGUGCAAUGGCAUAAGCCAGCUUGACUGCGAGCGUGACGGCGCGAGCAGGUGCGAAAGCAGGUCAUAGUGAUCCGGUGGUUCUGAAUGGAAGGGCCAUCGCUCAACGGAUAAAAGGUACUCCGGGGAUAACAGGCUGAUACCGCCCAAGAGUUCAUAUCGACGGCGGUGUUUGGCACCUCGAUGUCGGCUCAUCACAUCCUGGGGCUGAAGUAGGUCCCAAGGGUAUGGCUGUUCGCCAUUUAAAGUGGUACGCGAGCUGGGUUUAGAACGUCGUGAGACAGUUCGGUCCCUAUCUGCCGUGGGCGCUGGAGAACUGAGGGGGGCUGCUCCUAGUACGAGAGGACCGGAGUGGACGCAUCACUGGUGUUCGGGUUGUCAUGCCAAUGGCACUGCCCGGUAGCUAAAUGCGGAAGAGAUAAGUGCUGAAAGCAUCUAAGCACGAAACUUGCCCCGAGAUGAGUUCUCCCUGACCCUUUAAGGGUCCUGAAGGAACGUUGAAGACGACGACGUUGAUAGGCCGGGUGUGUAAGCGCAGCGAUGCGUUGAGCUAACCGGUACUAAUGAACCGUGAGGCUUAACCUU